rnacentral:rRNA from 1 species
GUCUAUGGCCAUGCCACCCUGAACAAGCCCAAUCUUGUCUGAUCUCGGAAGCUAAGCAGGGUUGGGCCUGGUUAGUACUUGGAUGGGAGACCACCUAGGAAGACCAGGUGUUGUAGGCU